UACGAAGGGGGCGAGCGUUGUUCGGAAUUACUGGGCGUAAAGGGCGCGUAGGCGGCGACCCAAGUCAGAUGUGAAAGCCCCGGGCUCAACCUGGGAACUGCAUUUGAAACUGGCGGGCUUGAGUAUGGCAGAGGGGGGUGGAAUUCCGCGUGUAGCAGUGAAAUGCGUAGAUAUGUGGAGGAACACCGAUGGCGAAGGCAGCCCCCUGGGAUGUGACUGACGCUCAUGUACGAAAGCGUGGGGAGCAAACAGG
rnacentral:rRNA from 1 species